UCAAGUGUCUUAAGGGCAAUUGGUGGAUGCCUUGGCAUGCACAGGCGAUGAAGGACGUGAUACGCUGCGAUAAGCUACGGGGAGGUGCGAAUACCCUUUGAUCCGUAGAUUUCCGAAUGGGGAAACCCACCUAAGGUGCUUGGAAAAUCAGAGUAGCAAGGUGACUUGCUGCUGUGGUUUCCAAGUAUCUGUUAUAGGUAACUUACCCUGAAUACAUAGGGGUAAAGUGGCGAACGCGGGGAACUGAAACAUCUAAGUACCCGUAGGAAAGGACAUCAACCGAGACUCCGGAAGUAGUGGCGAGCGAACCCGGACCAGGCCAGUGGCGAUUGAGAGACAAGCGGAACCUUCUGGAAAGUAGGGCCAUAGUGGGUGACAGCCCCGUACGCGUAAUGCGAUCAAUCGUCCUCGAGUAAGGCGGGACACGUGAAAUCCUGUCUGAAAUUGGGGGGACCACCCUCCAAGCCUAAGUACUCGUGCAUGACCGAUAGCGAACUAGUACCGUGAGGGAAAGGUGAAAAGCACCCCGACAAGGGGAGUGAAAGAGUACCUGAAACCGAUUGCCUACAAACAGUGGAAGCCCAAGGUUCGUCCUGGGUGACCACGUACCUUUUGUAUAAUGGGUCAGCGACUUAGUGUGACGAGCAAGCUUAAACCGCUAGGUGUAGGCGCAGCGAAAGCGAGUCUGAACAGGGCGUUCAGUUCGUCGCAUUAGACCCGAAACCGAGUGAUCUAGCCAUGAGCAGGUUGAAGGUAAGGUAACACUUACUGGAGGACCGAACCCAUAACUGUUGCAAUAGUUCGGGAUGACUUGUGGCUAGGGGUGAAAGGCCAAUCAAACUCGGAAAUAGCUGGUUCUCCGCGAAAUCUAUUUAGGUAGAGCGUCGACCGAAUACCCCAGGGGGUAGAGCACUGGAUGGGCUAGGGGUCCUCACCGGAUUACCAAACCUAACCAAACUCCGAAUACCUGGGAGUACUAGUCGGCAGACACACGGCGGGUGCUAACGUCCGUCGUGAAAAGGGAAACAACCCUGACCUACAGCUAAGGUCCCCAAGUUAUGGCUAAGUGGGAAAGGAUGUGAGGAUCCCAAAACAACCAGGAUGUUGGCUUAGAAGCAGCCAUCAUUUAAAGAAAGCGUAACAGCUCACUGGUCUAAAUAAGGGUCUUUGCGCCGAAAAUGUAACGGGGCUAAAGCCAUACACCGAAGCUUAGGGUUUGAUCCGCAAGGGUCAAGCGGUAGCGGAGCGUUCUGUAAGCUGAUGAAGCCAUACCCGUGAGGGGUGGUGGAGGUAUCAGAAGUGCGAAUGCUGACAUGAGUAACGUAAGGGGAGUGAGAGACUCCCCCGCCGAAAGACCAAGGGUUCCUGCUUAAAGCUAAUCUGAGCAGGGUUAGCCGGCCCCUAAGACGAGGCGGAAACGCGUAGUCGAUGGGAACCACGUUAAUAUUCGUGGGCUUGGAGGUAGUGACGGAUCAUUGAGGUAGUCCAAUCUUAUCGGAUUGAACGGGCUGCUGCGUGGUUCCAGGAAAUAGCUCCUCCUUAUAAACCGUACCCGAAACCGACACUGGUGGUCUGGUAGAGUAUACCAAGGCGCUUGAGAGAACUAUGCUGAAGGAACUCGGCAAAUUGCACGCGUAACUUCGGAAGAAGCGUGACCCUUUUCUACGCAAGUAGAGGAGGGUGGCACAGACCAGGGGGUAGCGACUGUUUAUCAAAAACACAGGGCUCUGCGAAGUCGCAAGACGACGUAUAGGGUCUGACGCCUGCCCGGUGCUGGAAGGUUAAGAGGAGGGGUGCAAGCUCUGAAUCGAAGCCCCAGUAAACGGCGGCCGUAACUAUAACGGUCCUAAGGUAGCGAAAUUCCUUGUCGGGUAAGUUCCGACCUGCACGAAUGGCGUAACGACUUCCCCGCUGUCUCCAGCAUAGACUCAGUGAAAUUGAAUUCCCCGUGAAGAUGCGGGGUUCCUGCGGUUAGACGGAAAGACCCCGUGCACCUUUACUAUAGCUUUACAUUGGCAUUCGUAGUGGCAUGUGUAGGAUAGGUGGUAGGCUUUGAAACCUGGGCGCCAGCUCAGGUGGAGCCACCCUUGAAAUACCACCCUUAUCACUAUGGAUGUCUAACCGCGGCCCGUUAUCCGGGUCCGGGACAAUGUAUGGUGGGUAGUUUGACUGGGGCGGUCGCCUCCUAAAGAGUAACGGAGGCGCGCGAUGGUGGGCUCAGAACGGUCGGAAAUCGUUCGCUGAGUGCAAUGGCAUAAGCCUGCCUGACUGCGAGACUGACAAGUCGAGCAGAGACGAAAGUCGGUCAUAGUGAUCCGGUGGUCCCGCGUGGAAGGGCCAUCGCUCAACGGAUAAAAGGUACGCCGGGGAUAACAGGCUGAUGACCCCCAAGAGUCCAUAUCGACGGGGUUGUUUGGCACCUCGAUGUCGACUCAUCGCAUCCUGGGGCUGGAGCAGGUCCCAAGGGUAUGGCUGUUCGCCAUUUAAAGCGGUACGUGAGUUGGGUUCAGAACGUCGUGAGACAGUUCGGUCCCUAUCUGCCGUGGGUGUAGGAAUAUUGAAAGGAUCUGUCCCUAGUACGAGAGGACCGGGAUGGACGGAUCUCUGGUGGACCUGUUGUGGCGCCAGCCGCAUAGCAGGGUAGCUAUAUCCGGACGGGAUAACCGCUGAAGGCAUCUAAGCGGGAAACCCACCUUAAAACGAGUAUUCCCUGAGAACCGUGGAAGACGACCACGUUGAUAGGCCGGGUGUGGAAGAGCGGCAACGCUUGAAGCUUACCGGUACUAAUAGUUCGAUCGGCUUGAUCGU
rnacentral:rRNA from 1 species